GGCUUGGUAGUCAUAGCGAGGGGAAAACACGCGAUCCCAUCCCGAACUCGACCGUUAAGACCCUCCGCGCCAAUGAUACUUGGGCUUAAGUCCUGGGAAAGUAGGUCGCUGCCAAGCU
rnacentral:rRNA from 1 species